CUUGGGUUCCUCCUUCUUCUCGUUUGCCUUUUUCUGCUUCUGCUGCAUGAUCUCCGAGUCCCUGGGGGUAGAGAUGAUGGGGCACUGGGAGGUACCAGAGGGCAAAAAGGACAAGACACAGGGGGAUGAAGG
rnacentral:pre_miRNA from 1 species